GACGAACGCUGGCGGCGUGCUUAACACAUGCAAGUCGAACGAGUGGCGAACGGGUGAGUAACACGAGGGUGAUCUGCCUCGCACUUCGGGAUAAGCUUGGGCAACUGGGUCCAAUACCGGAUAGUGCAAGAUGAGCCCGCGUCCUAUCAGCUUGUUGGUGGGGUAAGGGCAACCAAGGCGCGACGGGUAGCCGGCCUGAGAGGGCGUACGGCCACAUUGGGACUGAGAUACGGCCCAGACUCCUACGGGAGGCAGCAGUGGGGAAUAUUGCACAAUGGGCGGAAGCCUGAUGCAGCGACGCCGCGUGGGGGAUGAAGGCCUUCGGGUUGUAAACUCCUUUCGACAGGGACGCGGUACCUGUAUAAGAAGCACCGGCUAACUACGUGCCAGCAGCCGCGGUAAUUC
rnacentral:rRNA from 1 species